rnacentral:rRNA from 1 species
GGCCGUGGCCUCGCGGUAUGCAUCUAGAUUAGAGUUUGAUCAUGGCUCAGAACGAACGCUGGCGGCAGGCUUAACACAUGCCAUAAAAGAGCGCGAGAUCACCUUCGGGUGAUGGAGAGCGGCCCUUACGGAGAUGAGUAACGCGUGGGAACCUACCCUUUGGUUCGGAAUAACUUUGGGAAACUGAAGCUAAUACCGGAUAAGCCCCGUAAGGGGGAAAGAUUUAUCGCCAAAGGACGGGCCCGCGUUGGAUUAGGUAGUUGGUGGGGUAACGGCCUACCAAGCCGACGAUCCAUAGCUGUUCUGAGAGGAUGGUCAGCCACAGGGGAACUGAGACACGGUCCCCACUCCUACGRSAGGCAGYRGUAGAGGAAAUWUUGRGCCAAUUGGGCGCMAGCCUGACCMRGCAAUGCCGCGUGCSGGAACGAAGKUCCCUCSGAUCGUAAACCGCUUUUGUGGGGGGGAGUAGCAAGGAGAGUACCCCCACGAAUAAGUCACGGCUAACUACGUGCCAGCAGCCGCGGUAAUACGUARGUUGACAAAUGUUAUCCGGAAUCACUGGGCGUAAAGGGUCUGUAGGCGGUUACUUAGGUCUGAUGUGACACCUCACGGCUUAACUGUGAGAGCGCAUUGGAAACCGGGUGACUAGAAUCACGUCCGAGGUCGGUGGAAUUCCCGGUGUAGUGGUGGAAUGCGUAGAGAUCGGGAGGAACCUCGAAAGCGAAGGCAGCGGGCUAGACGAUGAUUGACGCUGAGGGACGAUAGCGUGGGUAGCAAACAGGAUUAGAUACCCUGGUAGUCCACGCCCGUAAACGAUGUGUGCUCGGUGUGUGUGGGUAAAACCAUGCGCGCCUCAGCCAACGCGAUAAGCGCACCGCCUGGGGAGUACGGCCGCAAGGCUAAAACUCAAAGGAAUUGACGGGGACCCGCACAAGCAGCGGAGCGUGUGGUUUAAUUCGAAGCAACGCGCAGAACCUUACCAGCCUUUGACAUCCCGGUCGCGAUUACCAGAGAUGGUUUUCUUCAGUUCGGCUGGACCGGUGACAGGUGCUGCAUGGCUGUCGUCAGCUCGUGUCGUGAGAUGUUGGGUUAAGUCCCGCAACGAGCGCAACCCUCGUCCUUAGUUGCUACCAUUCAAUUGGGCACUCUAAGGAAACUGCCGAUGAUAAGCCGGAGGAAGGUGGGGAUGACGUCAAGUCCUCAUGGCCCUUACAGGCUGGGCUACACACGUGCUACAAUGGCGGUGACAGUGGGCAGCGACCCCGCAAGGGUGAGCUAAUCUCCAAAAGCCGUCUCAGUUCGGAUUGUUCUCUGCAACUCGAGAGCAUGAAGGCGGAAUCGCUAGUAAUCGCGGAUCAGCAUGCCGCGGUGAAUACGUUCCCAGGCCUUGUACACACCGCCCGUCACACCAUGGGAGUUGGUUUCACCCGAAGAUGGUGCGCUAACCCGUAAGGGAGGCAGCCAGCCACGGUGGGAUCAGCGACUGGGGUGAAGUCGUAACAAGGUAACGGUAAGGUUUGUCU